GGGGCUAAUACCGGAUAAUAUUUUGAACUGCAUGGUUCGAAAUUGAAAGGCGGCUUCGGCUGUCACUUAUGGAUGGACCCGCGUCGCAUUAGCUAGUUGGUGAGGUAACGGCUCACCAAGGCAACGAUGCGUAGCCGACCUGAGAGGGUGAUCGGCCACACUGGGACUGAGACACGGCCCAG
rnacentral:rRNA from 1 species